UACGUAGGCAGCAAGCGUUGUUCGGAGUUACUGGGCGUAAAGAGUGCGUAGGCGGUCCUAUAAGUUCCGUGUGAAAUCUCCCGGCUCAACUGGGAGGGUGCGCGGAAGACUGUAGGGCUUGAGUGUGGGAGAGGUAAGCGGAAUUCCAGGUGUAGCGGUGAAAUGCGUAGAUAUCUGGAGGAACACCGGUGGCGAAGGCGGCAUCCUGGACCAAUAUUGACGCUGAGGAGCGAAAGCCAGGGGAGCAAACGGG
rnacentral:rRNA from 1 species